UUAGAGUUUUNGAACAUGGCUCAGGACGAACGCUGGCGGCGUGCCUAAUACAUGCAAGUCGAGCGGACAGAAGGGAGCUUGCUCCCGGAUGUUAGCGGCGGACGGGUGAGUAACACGUGGGUAACCUGCCUGUAAGACUGGGAUAACUCCGGGAAACCGGAGCUAAUACCGGAUAGUUCCUUGAACCGCAUGGUUCAAGGAUGAAAGACGGUUUCGGCUGUCACUUACAGAUGGACCCGCGGCGCAUUAGCUAGUUGGUGGGGUAAUGGCUCACCAAGGCGACGAUGCGUAGCCGACCUGAGAGGGUGAUCGGCCACACUGGGACUGAGACACGGCCCAGACUCCUACGGGAGGCAGCAGUAGGGAAUCUUCCGCAAUGGACGAAAGUCUGACGGAGCAACGCCGCGUGAGUGAUGAAGGUUUUCGGAUCGUAAAGCUUCUGUUGUUAGGGAAGAACAAGUGCGAGAGUAACUGCUCGCACCCUUGACGCCCUACCAGAAGCCCGA
rnacentral:rRNA from 1 species